rnacentral:rRNA from 1 species
GACGUAGGGCGCGAGCGUUGUCCGGAUUUAUUGGGCGUAAAGAGCUCGUAGGCGGUGUGUCGCGUCGGCCGUGAAAACCUGCAGCUUAACUGUGGGCUUGCGGUCGAUACGGGCAUCACUGGAGUUCGGCAGGGGAGACUGGAAUUCCUGGUGUAGCGGUGAAAUGCGCAGAUAUCAGGAGGAACACCGGUGGCGAAGGCGGAUCUCUGGGCCGUAACUGACGCUGAGGAGCGAAAGCAUGGGGAGCGAACAGG